rnacentral:rRNA from 1 species
GAAUGCCGGUGUGAGUAGCGAAAGACGGGUGAGAAUCCCGUCCACCGAUUGACUAAGGUUUCCAGAGGAAGGCUCGUCCGCUCUGGGUUAGUCGGGUCCUAAGCUGAGGCCGACAGGCGUAGGCGAUGGAUAACAGGUUGAUAUUCCUGUACCACCAUUAUUCGUUUUAAGCGAUGGGGGGACGCAGUAGGAUAGGCGAAGCGUGCUGUUGGAGUGCACGUCCAAGCAGUGAGAUUGAGUGUUAGGCAAAUCCGGCACUCUUAAGAUUGAGCUGUGAUGGGGAGAGGAACUUGUUCCUCGAGUCGUUGAUUUCACACUGCCGAGAAAAGCCUCUAGCUAGAAUAACGGUGCCCGUACCGCAAACCGACACAGGUAGUCAAGAUGAGAAUUCUAAGGUGAGCGAGCGAACUCUCGUUAAGGAACUCGGCAAAAUGACCCCGUAACUUCGGGAGAAGGGGUGCUCUUUGAGGUUCACGCUUCGAAGAGCCGCAGUGAAUAGGCCCAAGCGACUGUUUAUCAAAAACACAGGUCUCUGCUAAACCGUAAGGUGACGUAUAGGGGCUGACGCCUGCCCGGUGCUGGAAGGUUAAGAGGAGUGGUUAGCGCAAGCGAAGCUACGAAUCGAAGCCCCAGUAAACGGCGGCCGUAACUAUAACGGUCCUAAGGUAGCGAAAUUCCUUGUCGGGUAAGUUCCGACCCGCACGAAAGGCGUAACGAUUUGGGCACUGUCUCAACGAGAGACUCGGUGAAAUCAUAGUACCGGUGAAGAUGCCGGUUACCCGCGACAGGACGGAAAGACCCCGUGGAGCUUUACUGUAGCCUGAUAUUGAAAUUCGGUACAGUUUGUACAGGAUAGGUAGGAGCCUUAGAAGCGUGAGCGCUAGCUUACGUGGAGGCAUUGGUGGGAUACUACCCUAAUUGUAUUGGAUUUCUAACCCGCAGCACUUAUCGUGCUGGGAGACAGUGUCAGGCGGGCAGUUUGACUGGGGCGGUCGCCUCCUAAAGAGUAACGGAGGCGCUCAAAGGUUCCCUCAGAAUGGUUGGAAAUCAUUCAUAGAGUGUAAAGGCAUAAGGGAGCUUGACUGCGAGACCUACAAGUCGAGCAGGGUCGAAAGACGGACUUAGUGAUCCGGUGGUUCCGCAUGGAAGGGCCAUCGCUCAACGGAUAAAAGCUACCCCGGGGAUAACAGGCUUAUCUCCCCCAAGAGUUCACAUCGACGGGGAGGUUUGGCACCUCGAUGUCGGCUCAUCGCAUCCUGGGGCUGUAGUCGGUCCCAAGGGUUGGGCUGUUCGCCCAUUAAAGCGGUACGCGAGCUGGGUUCAGAACGUCGUGAGACAGUUCGGUCCCUAUCCGUCGUGGGCGUAGGAAAUUUGAGAGGAGCUGUCCUUAGUACGAGAGGACCGGGAUGGACAUACCUCUGGUGUACCAGUUGUCGUGCCAACGGCAUAGCUGGGUAGCUAUGUAUGGACGGGAUAAGUGCUGAAAGCAUCUAAGCAUGAAGCCCCCCUCGAGAUGAGAUUUCCCAACUUCGGUUAUAAGAUCCCUCAAAGAUGAUGAGGUGAAUAGGUUCGAGGUGGAAGCGUAGCGAUACGUGGAGCUGACGAAUA